UACGAAGGGAGCUAGCGUUGUUCGGAUUUACUGGGCGUAAAGGGCGCGUAGGCGGUUGUGUAAGUUGGAUGUGAAAGCCCUGGGCUCAACCCGGGAAUUGCAUUCAAAACUACACGACUCGAAUUUGGUAGAGGUUGGUAGAAUUCCCAGUGUAGAGGUGAAAUUCGUAGAUAUUGGGAAGAAUACCCGUGGCGAAGGCGGCCAACUGGACCAACAUUGACGCUGAGGCGCGAAAGCGUGGGGAGCAAACAGG
rnacentral:rRNA from 1 species